ensembl:piRNA 21ur-5120 ncRNA
UUCAUUGGAAGCAUAACUCGA